UACGGAGGGUGCAAGCGUUAUCCGGAUUCACUGGGUUUAAAGGGUGCGUAGGAGGGCAGGUAAGUCAGUGGUGAAAUCUCCAAGCUUAACUUGGAAACUGCCAUUGAUACUAUCUACCUUGAAUACCGUGGAGGUGAGCGGAAUAUGUCAUGUAGCGGUGAAAUGCUUAGAUAUGACAUAGAACACCAAUUGCGAAGGCAGCUCACUACACGAAUAUUGACUCUGAGAGACGAAAGCUAGGGGAGCGAAUGGG
rnacentral:rRNA from 1 species